UACGGAGGGUGCGAGCGUUGUCCGGAAUUACUGGGCGUAAAGGGCGCGUAGGCGGUUCGCUAAGUUGAAUGUGAAAACUCUGGGCUUAACCCAGAGCCUGCAUCCAAAACUGGCGAACUGGAGUACUGGAGGGGAAAGCGGAAUUCCUGGUGUAGCGGUGAAAUGCGUAGAUAUCAGGAGGAACACCGGUGGCGAAGGCGGCUUUCUGGACAGUAACUGACGCUGAGGCGCGAAAGCUAGGGGAGCAAACAGG
rnacentral:rRNA from 1 species